rnacentral:lncRNA from 1 species
GGUGUACUAAGGUGUAGAAAGAAAACCGCGGUCGCGCCAAGCUAAGAUGAGCGACUGCUGAGUCGCGGUCCUUAGCGCGUCAAGAGACAGGCUGGGUCCCUGCGGGGCAGGAGAGGCGGAGAGAGACCCUGGGAACAUCCUGGGUGGCCACACGUCGGUGCCCGAGUAAGGGGAGGAGCGGGCGGGCAGGUCUGGGGACGGGAGCUGCCGAGCUUCCGCCCUCUCGCUCCCAGCGGGGAGUCGGGGCGGCCUGCCAACGCGGGGCCAGGGCGGCGCGCGGAGGGCCCACGCGGGUGACAUUCUGACUGGACCGGGUCCCAGGACUGCGCGGGAGGAGGUUGUGGGCGGCGGGCGGAAGAUUGGUUUCCAGAUCUUCUGAUGAGCGCGGUGGAGGGCGUUGGGCUGCGCCCUCCCGGGAGACACUCCGGACGUUUAUUGUGGAACUGGGGCGGGCGGUGGUCUUCGUUUUGAGGAGGUCAACCACCUUUUUAAUUCUUUUGCUUCAGAGUAUGGCGGGACUCAGGAUGGAAGUCACCAGGACACGGAUUUAGAUUUGACUGAAUGUAAGCAUUCGGAGGGUGGUCAACUCCCCUGUUCCCGGGAUCAGGCGGCCGCUUGCCAGGGAGGGCUCGGGCUUAUCGUGCCAAGAGCAAAGAUUUGGAAAUAUGUCCCUCCCGAUUCGCGGCUGGUCAUUUAAAGCCUAAAUGUCCUCAUGUUUAAAAUGUUACGAGUAUUUUCCCUGCUGCCUCAUGAGUUGCAGAGGAGGUCGCAUUCGGUAGCAGCACGUGAAAGUACUUUGCACAGUAAGGAUAAGAACGGACGAUCAUUGUUCAUUCCCAAUGCAGUGCUACUAAGGGGCUUUCCAUACGCAUUCUCAUUUAAUCCUCGCAUCAAUUCUUUGCGGAAGGUAUCAUUAUCAUUAUUAUUAAUUAGCCUCACUGUACAAUCAAAGAGACAAGGGCUCAGAGAAAUCAAGUAAUUUCUCCAAGGUCCCACAGUAGAAAGGAACAGAGUCAGAGCUGGAGUUGUGGCUCAGCAGUGGAGCGCUCCCCUAGCAUGAGCAAGGAAGGCCCUGGGUUCGAUCCUCAGCGCCAUAUAAAAAUAAAUAAGUAACAUAAAGGUAUUUUGUGUCCAACUACAAUUAAAAAAAUACUUUUUUUAAAAAAGAAAGGAGCAGAAUCAAAACUUGAAUUUAAGGCAAGCCGAUACCGGAGCCUAUUUGUUCAAUACUGUGCCCAAAUAUUGAGCCCAGUUGCUUAAUACAAGCACCCAAAUCCAACUCUUCUUUUGUUGUACUCAGCAUAUUAAAGAUCCAACUUCUAAUUUGGACAAGAUAUUGAAUUGUGUUUCUUCUAAGUUCAAGAGUGAGACUAUCUACUGAUAACAAUUCCACUAACAGGCUUUCAUUAUUACAGCUUGAUUUCUCUGAGCCUUUACUUUUUAAUCUACAAAAGAAUUAACAUGUAAAUAUCCCUUGAAAAAAGAACAUGGAAACAAGUUGUGUGAGAUGGUGUUAAACAAUUUACCUCUCAACUGUGCUGCUCAAAAUGUGGUGAAUGGUCAUUUUUUGGUGUUUUUUUUAAAUUUUCUAUUCAUUGUGGUUAAAUAUUUUGUAAAAGAUUUACUAGAAAAAUGAAAUGAAAAAAAUACAAAUCUAGAUUUUUAUUAAAGACUGCACAAUGAAAUGACAUUUUAAUAACUAUCAUUGGAAUAACUGCAACAGAAAAAUUAACAUCAGUAUACAUUCACUGAAAGUAUGUGUGGUUAAUAGAAUCCUAUGUGGCAGAGUAGAUUCUUAAUAUCCAGGACUUUUUCCAUAGUUUCAGUAACGAACUAGCUAAGGAACAUUCAACACACCUAGCACCAACUCUCAAUCCUGCACUCUAAUGGAAUGCAAAAGCAUAAUCAAUAGUAAAGAGUUAAUAAUGACACACCUUUUAAUCACUUCAGCAGAAUAGAGGCAGUGCCUUCCUCUGUUUCUGUCUUGACAGCCCAGACCCCACCUGCGUGGAGGUAGAAUGAAAAUCCCAAACUCCCCCUAGGUAGAUCAGGCUGCCUGGAGUUAAUGUUAUUGAACACCCAAUGAAUAAAUCAAUAGCAAAGGCACAAAGUGGACAUGGAAAAUCUAUAUGUGUGUUACCUCAGUCCAUGUUUAGGACUCCAAAGCUUAGAUUCAAAGGAGUAAGAUUCUCUUUAAUUAUAUAAUACCCUGCAAGACAGUGAUUAAAUCUAUGAAGUUUCCAGACACUGAAGUUAUCUUUUUCCUAGAUCAGAAAUUGCAUCUCUCUUUUGAAUUUUGCAGGAUUAAUCUCUGACCUACUUUCAUCUAAUAGCAAACGGGGUUCCCAUGGCUUAUAGCUAUUCACCAGACCCUUGCAAACAAAAAUCUAUUUGAAAAUGAAAAUCUAUCUUUUUCAAAUUUAUGCCUUUGCAAAUGAAAAUCCACUUCUUCGCCUUUUAGCCUUUUGAGUCACAUGGUAGCAUGACCUCCCUUAAAAUUUGCUAACUUAGUGCUGGGGGUAUAGCUCAGUAGUAGAGUGUUUGAUGCCCAGCACCAGGAUAAAAAAAAAAAAAAAUUAGUAACCUAAUGGCAGUUAAAUGUCUAAUUCAUUCAGACCUCCAUAUCUUUUGUUUUUUUCUUUUUUAAAAAAUUUCCAAGUUUAUGAAUUUUUAAAAAUGUACACCAAAUGAUGAAAAAUGAUGUAUAUUGCAAUUCCCUUUCUGAAACAUUUUUAAUUGAUAGAACUGGUGUGUGUGUGUGUGUGUGUGUGUGUGUGUGUAAGCCAGUGAUAUGGUUAAACAUCCUACCAUGCUCAGAGAAUUCUUCACAAGAAUCACCUGAUCAAUUGUGUUGAGAAAACAUAAUUUAGAUGCAUAGUUAAGUUCUCUCCUAGGAUAAAAUUUAUGUGCAUUUAUUUAUAUAAAUUGUGAAUCUCUGAUAAUUUACCCACUGAAAUUUGGUUGCUUUAUGUUGAAGUAUUUACUGAAGUCAAUACACACGUUACAGUUUUCCUGUACAAAGUAUAUUUGUAAACUGUACACUUAUAAAUUAAAAGAUAUAUAUGUUUAAAGAAGGAGAUGGAGAUUAUAAUGGUAGUUCUGCAGUUUCCAGAACUUUGUGCUUAAGACUGCUUAGGACAACAAAAACACAUUUAAACCAAAUAGGCAUCUGUAUGACUGAAAAGCGGACUGAACAAAGUGUUCAUGUGGAUUGUGGAUUGUGAUCUUUUGGUGUACUUAUUUUUUAGCUUUCAUGCUGAUCUCAACUUUGCCUUUGCUUGCAUUUUUCAUCCUCAUAAUCCCUCAGGCACAGCAAAACCUUCCCAUCAGUUUCUUGUCUACUGAAAGCCUUUCCAAAUAAUGCCAACUUCUGAGCAUCUGCCUCUUUCACAAAUUGUAUUACUGUAUCCAUAGACUGAUGUGGAGAUUUUGGCAAAACCAUAUUUUCAGUACACUAAGGUCAGGUUCACUUAUUCAACUAGGAUUUCCAUCUUCUCUUUAUGUGGAUUUUCCUGACUUCAUGAAAUGGUCCUUGGAAGACUCAAUGACAGUUUUAUUCAGAACUGGUUCCACAUAGCUAAGUUAGCUGAAAAGAAUUCCAAUUGGUGGAUAUAAGAAGAAUUUGUGGCUAUUUUUCAGGAAAAGCUCAGAGAGUCUGCUGACUUACUAGCUUUUUCAGAAAUCUUUUGCCUUUCAGGCAUGUCAGAUUCUAUAAGCCAGGAGUCUGCUUCUGGCAUGCAUUUCUACUAGGAGAUGCUUCAGUGGGAGAGGAACUACAAAAGGUGGAGGAUUCUGGGUACUUGGCUUUGCACUUUUGUUUUCUGGUAUCUGCUUCUGCUGAUUGACUUUUCUCAAUGUUCUUAAGGAGUUGGACAGAAUAUUUUCCCCCAGCAGAGGAGGCAGCUACCACGUCUCCUCUAUGGAGGAAUUCAAGAACACUUCAGCUCAGAGGGCACAAUUUUCAUGGGGCUUGCAGGGCCUGCCAGAGCACCACAGCCAUGGGGUCUGAAUAGGCAACUGUUGGACUCUCUUCUGAUUCAGGUAAGCACUGGUAUCCCCUGGUUGUUUGCAGAGACAGAUUACAGAUGUGAACUGUAGUUAACUCAGCAAUGUUAUCCUUCACCAAAUGGAAGAGUCUCUGUCCAACAACUUGACACAAAUAGAGAUGUAGGAGAACACAAAACUCUUUUCUUCUUUCCCUAAUUUUGAGCCUCCUCAAGUAUAAAUAAUGAUUUUUUUUUUCAGGGAAGCAUUUUCUAGAAACUUAUCCUUCUUGGGGAGUGAAGUCUGUGAAGUGUUCCAACCUGUUCACCUGCUGUCCUGAUGGCAUAAGAGCAGUUCUCUACGGGAUCUGCCUUGAACACUGCAUCCAUCACAUGGGAAGAAAUAGAUUGUGGUUUUGCUAGACUUUCUGUAAUAGGAAUAUUAUUUCCUGAUGGUUGUAAGACAUCUGUCCAGGUACAUUAUCCAACUGGAAAAAUAUCUCAAGAAUCGUACUUGUAGCAAUAGUCAAAAUCUCCUCCCUAGCCAUCAAAUGUAAUAUGAGCUUUAUGUCCUCUUGCACUGCCACAGAUUGCCAGGCAGAUCAGAUAAGGAUUCUUUCUGUUGCUUCAUUUCAUUCUCCUUUUAAUGACUUAAGGUUGGCUUCUGUGAUCCCUUCUUACAGAAUGUUGAAGGUACUAUUUCAGAUCCAUUUAGAGAUCAUAAAAGGAACUUUGGCCAAGAUGAUACACUCAUCUGGAACCCCAAGGGGGCUGAAGUAAUGACCUCCUUUUUACACUUCAGAUUCCUAACAAUUGUGUGUCCAAGGUUCAAGAGAUCUACAAGCUUCCUAAAGUCAUUUCCAUUGUCACUAUAUCUAGUGCUAACUAUAUAAGCUGGCAUAUGUAAUCCCAAUAAUCAUAAUUCAUGUUGAAGUAAUAUUGUGACAGUAACAUGCUUCCUUUCAAACAAACUGUGAGGUCUUUAGUUGGUGAAAUUGUGGACUGACCAAAUUACCGUGAAGGAUCACAGAAAGAUCCAGUCUCUCCCAGUAAUUGUUCUACUGGAAAUUGUCGUUUUGCCCAGAGGAUAUUCUUCAUUGUCAUGCUUGACAGUAUGGAUCUUUUCCCCAUGGGCUCCCUUUUUGGUGUUCUUUUCUCAUGGGGCUACAAUGGGUGGAGGUUAUUUCCCCAGAGUCCAGUCAGCAUGGGGACACAGGGCACUGCUACUGUAUUUUAGAGCCCAAGGGCAGAGCCCAGACCUAAGUUGUAUGCUUUAUAAAAGCAUCCUUAUUGGAGCAUCAUUGACAUACAAUAAACUGUGCAUAUUUAAAUAUACACUUUGA